UGAAGGCCAUUCACACCACGGAUUUUUCCGGGUGGGUUGUAAACCCCUUUUCUCGAGGGAUGAAGACUGACCACUCGAUUAAGAAAGCAUCGGCUAACUCCGUGCCAGCAGCCGCGGUAAUACGGGGGAUGCGAGCGUUAUCCGGAAUCACUGGGCGUAAAGCGUCUGUAGGUGGUUCGGUGUGCCCACUGUGAAACCACGGGGACCAACCCCGUGAAAGUGGUGGAGACUACCGAACUCGAGGGCGGUAGGGGCUGGGGUAAUCCCUUGAGUAGUGGUGAAAUACUCUGAUACAAGGGGGAAGUCCUGACGCGAAGGCACCCUGCUGGGCCGUUCCUGACACUGAGAGACGAAAGCUAGGGGAGCAAAAGGGAUUAGAUACCCCUGUAGUCA
rnacentral:rRNA from 1 species